GCCGCCGUAGCUCAGUUGGUUAGAGCGCUUGAUUGUGGAUCAAGAGGUCCCCCGUUCAAACCGGGGCGGUGGUACCA
rnacentral:tRNA from 1 species